CGUCACGGCAGCCGCAGCCACGGCAUGAUCAGCAAACACCAGUUGGUCGACCAAUGAUUAUCCCAGAAGCAUCAACAGUCUCUGUGUGAGCUGCCAAAUAUGGUGAAGUCCAAGCUGUGUAACCUGCAUGACAGGUCCAACGAAGAGGUCCUACUACACCAUGAAGCAGCAGAGGCGAUAUAUGCAGCAGCCGUGACCCCUCAUCUGCUUCUGCUUCAUCUUAUUCCUCAACCCCAUCCUCUAAAAACACCAACGACUUCUGCUCCUCUCCCCAACGGAGCGCUCCCCUUCACCCUAAAUUGAGGCCCGUCCCAAGUAUUACCCUAGAUUAUUGUGUUUUCAACAAAUGCUUUAAAAAUAGAUUUUGAUGUUC